rnacentral:sRNA from 1 species
UCCUGUGUUUCGAAAGCUUACAAGUGC